CAAAUAUAGAAUUUUCUGCAAGCUUUAUUAUUUUGUAACAAGCGUCUUGAUUGGCCGAAUUUCCAAAACAUCAUUUGGGCCGGGAAAUUUGAUGGUUGAACUGCAAGAACAUGAACAAAGUUUUGGGAAUUUAAAGACAGCUACUAUACCAACAAGAGGAAAAAUUAACCAGAAACUACAGAUUAAAUUACAGAUCUAUCCACUAAUGCAUGAAUAAUCUGCUCAGUUAAAAAUAUACAUACAUACAUCAGUGUAUAUUUAAAUAACAAAAGGAAGGAAUAUAAACAGAAAAGGCUUACAUAGAAUACAAUGAAAGCUGCAUCUAGGAAAGAAAUCAUGUCAUCUGCAUCAAAAAGUCAUAUCCCCAGACCACAGCUGUCAGGGAAGAAAAUGAAGGCCCGACCAGCACCAGACUUCAGCAAGUUACACAAGAAAUGGGAUGAACAACUACAGAGUGGAUUGAGCUGCAAGAAAAAACCAACAACAAUUGUAAAGCCAUUUGAUGUUACUAAACCAGGAACAAAGUUCACAGUUCAGAAUAAAGUCACUGUCCUAAAUGAUGAUGAUGACUUUGAGUUGGAAUUUGAAUCGGACCAGAAAGCCUUAGACACUAUCCUCCACAACAAAGGUCUAAGUGAGAGAAAGGUUGCUGGCAGAACUACUUUGGAUCUGAUGUCCAUGAGUACUGGAAAGAUAAAGAAGAAAAGUUGUACCAAUCUAGGGAAGCGACGUAUCCUAGGGGAGUUACCUUGUGAUCCAGAUCAGCUGACUGAUGACGAUAGAGUUGUUAGUGCUAAGAAGGCUUUAGAGUUUAAUGCAGAGAAGAAAAAUAUCACAGAUUUUGAAGAAGAUCCUGAGGCCUUGAUCAGUAUACUGAAUGAUGAAGGAAUCACAGUAACAUCUUCUACAGAUGACAGACAGACAUUUGCAGGAUCAGUGAUUAGACCAUCUUUAUUGCACAAUCCUCUACCAGCAAGACAGUCUUGUAUAUCAGCCAUCACUAAGACAACAUAUUCCAAGACUGAUACGGAAGCAUUGAUUCAGUCUGUCAGAGACGAGACAAGAUCAGAUAACAAACAACCAAACAGCAAGUCACCAUUCAAGACAAAUGCUUCUGUGGUAACAGACUCACCAUUCGGACAGAGAGUGAUGAGACCAGGCAGGAAUUCUAUCUAUGGAAAUUAUCAUAUAUAUCCCAUGUCCAGCCCUGCUGUUACUAGACAUAGAAAUCUAUUAUCAAAACACUCCUCUCCAAGUAAUGUUGUCUCUGAGCAUGUACAGAAAAGUCUGAAGAAGGAACUUCACAGGGAAAUGCACAAGUCUGUGAAGUGGUCAGAUGUUCUAGAAAGUUGCACUUAUUACAGUCCAUGUGCUGUUCCGAAGAUUAAAGAGAAAAAGACACUUUUCUCCACUAUAGAUGAAAUUGACAAUGACAGUGACAGUUGUAAGGAAAAUAUUGAACCCUCACAGCAGCACGACAAAAGUGAAAUCAACAAUAGCGGUGAUGUAACUUACACAUCUGAUGGACAGAAUAGAGAUGAAUCAUCGUUUGUCGCCACAGCCUCAUCGCACAAUUCUGCUGUAGUAUGCUCCAUGACUCAUAGUAAACUAUUGGAGCCAAGACAACAACCUUUGCUAAACUAUAACACUACAGAUACAACACCAUGCAAAGUCCUGUCCAAUACCAGCAGUCAGCCAAACAUCCACGAUACUACUUCUGGCAAGUCUACUUUAGCGGCCAGGAGAAUUCCUGUUACUGCUACUAAGCAUGACUCGGAUAUACCAAACUGUGUUAGUGUUACAGCAACAGAGAAAUAUAGGACAAUUUGUAAAAAUAUCGAAAAGCCGUUGUUUCAUCAGUCAGGAAUUUCAUCGUUACCCAAACAGGGAGGAGAUGGCUCUACAUUUAACCUUUCUAACCUCAGAAAUGUAAAGGGGCCGUUUGAUGAUGCCGUAAACCACAAUUGUGAUGACUUAGAAUUACAGGUUAAAAGUGAAACUCUUUUGUCAAAGAAAGAUUAUCCACAAGAAAUGGCAAUGCACACAGAGGAGAAAGAGGAAAGUGAGGAUUCAGAUAGCGUAAGAAAGGAUCCUCAGUCUCAGACUGGACCACAAACAUCGGACAAUGAAAGUGUUGAUCAUUUUGUUGGUCGUGUGAAAAAAAGUCGUAAACGUCAAAGUAUUGUGGAGUUAAAUGAAAGUAUUGUUGAAUCUCAGGUUCAUAUGUACAAACUUCAACAGGAAACAGAAAAACUACAGGAUGUCAAAGAGGUCGAAGGUUCACAGACAAAUCUAAACAUUUUACAACAACUACAGCUUAUUGCUGAACAACAGGAACAACUACAGUUCCUUCAGAAACAACUUGAAGAAGAACUACAACAACAACAGCCUUCCACUUCAGUGUCACAUGACAGGACUCCAUCAUCAUCCAUCGAGAGCAAUAAUAACUUUACCACUAUUAGUAACAUUGGUGUAACAAGUAGUGACAACUUUAGGGUAUCAACCUCCGAGAACAUUAUAAACAACAAUGUGAUAUCAGUGGAAGAUAAUCAGACUUUUGUGUCUCAACCAUUGUCCAUCUUUGCCUCUUCGUCAGCAGCAUUUAGUCAGACAUUGUCGCCAAGUAGAACAUGGAGUCCUUGUAAAGAUUUGACCUUGACUCCUAGCAAAAGACAGCCAAGAGUUGCUUUAGAUACACAAUUUGACAUUACACCUUAUGUGACAAAAACAUUCCCACAGAGGGAUGAAAAAUUAAUCAAUCAAAGUAACGAAAGUUUCCAGGAACUAAUCAAACAUCCAACUCCUGUGAAAUCAGAAUUAAGUUAUGUUAAUGUAUCCUCAACCUCUUCUGUGCCACCAUUAUGGACACCCUUAGCUUUAAGUGAAGCUUCACAAGACCAACAGAACUUGACCCCUCAAAUCUGUGAUAAUGACAUAAAAACAUGCACUUCUCAGGUAGCCGCAAUUGACCUCUCAGUGAAACGGCCAAAGGAAGAUGACCAUUCUGCAGCAUUUUCACCAUUUAUUUCCAUGGGUGUAGGACCAGUUUCUCCACAGCCAAAACCUACAUCUACAUCAGCAUUUACAAGGGUCUGUAGUCCUAAUAGAAAUGAUAAUCAAAAUGUUGGCUCCUUGUCUCUCAGAGCCAAUACACUCAUGUCACCUGUGGAUUUAUCAGCCAAAAAGAAAAGGUUGUCAAUGAGGAGAAAUGUCAUUACUGUUUCCAGUGAGAGAUACCAAGAAGCCUUACUAGACGAUGAAUGUGCCCUGUAUUCCUGUCGACUACAGAACCCUGGUUUUACAGGACGUAGUUACGUUAAUCCAGUAGCAACAGUGUUACAAGAGGGUGAUGAAAUGCAUUUUAUACCUAUCCAAGAAGACAGUCCUGUCCGUCACUACAUCCGUGAAGGUUCAGCAUUUAGUUGUUAUUCCCCUUGAGAUGAAACUUGGAACAAUACUGAACUUAACAAACAGUUAGUGUUUAACUGAAUCAAAAGAUUUGUACCUUCAUGUAUUAGGUUGUUAUUUAUAUAAUUUGCCAAAAUGAGUUUGAGUUUUAAACAAUUUUGUAUAACGGCCAAGCAUCACUUAACUAGUGGUCUAAUGGUAAAAAAGAAUGAUGUUGAGGAAUAUUUGAGAACAACAUAACCAAAUGUGAAUAUAUUGUAUGCUCGAUAAUGAAUUUAAAGGUAUACCAUUGGUUUACCAUUAGGCCUGAAACAAUAUGUACAGAGAGUUCUUUGCCAUCCUUCACAACAAAUUUGGCUUUCUCAAAAUAUUUCAUUUCCAUUUUAGUUCUCUAUUUUUUUCAUUCAAAUUUUGAUAAAUUUUUGAUCAAUUGGAAAAAUAUUCAUGAUAUGAAAGUAUCUAAUGGAAUUAUAUUUGACUUUUUUCAUCAUUUCAUCUUCAUAAUGUAAAAAUUCCUAACAUUUUUAAAUAGCAGCAUAAUAUCUAUAUAAUUAUAUGCAAGUAUAUAAUUAGCACUUAUAUUAGAAGCAUAAAGUUCAGCACUGAUCCUUUUCAUCAGGGGUACAGUGUCUUUAUACUUGCACUUUGUGGAUGAAUUUUACAAUGCCUUUAAAACAUAUUUCAUUUAUGCAUUUGCCAUUUCAGAAUCUAAAGGACUAUGAGUAAUUUUAUUGUUUGUACCACAUUUUUGCAUACACUUUUGGAAUAUUACCCAGAAUGCAAUAGAUUCUGCAAAGGUAUAUUGCUAACAUUGUCAAUUCAUCAACCAUUGAUUUGUACGACUUGUUGUAACAUCUGUAUAUUUAUAUAUACCUAGACAUUUGUGGAAUACUUGAUGGGCAGAUUGAGUCUUGAUUGAAUAUUAAGUGUUUCAGUCACAUUGUUUCCACAUUGUAUGGUAUAUACCACCAAAACAAUACAUAUUACCAACGUGUGGCAAAAUAAUACGUGUAAUUCAUUUAAAAUGAGUAGUAGUCUGAUUUUGAUAUGAGUUAUCUCCCAUCGACCAUGUAUAAACAAGGAAUUAUUUGAAUCUGAAAUAAACUAAAUUUACAACUAAAUAGGGCUAAGGGGGUUAGUUAGUUCAUACUGAAAUGAUAGUGAUACUAAAAUUAACCUUUACAGUGGCUGAUCCAGGAAUUUUCAUAAGUGGGGGCCCACUGACUGACCUAAGAGGGGGCCCACUCCAGUCAUGCUUCAGUGAUUCCCUGUAUAAGCAACCAAUUUUUUUCCCAAAAAGGGGGGGGGGGCCUAAAUCCGCCUAUGCUUCACCAUGUGCACAUGGCUAACCCUAUUUAGUUUGGUUAGUUUUCAUUAUACAUUUCUGAUAGAUUUUCCAGAAUUCAAAAUCAUUCUAGAUUCAAAUAAUUCCUUGUUUAUACAUUAUUGUAUAUAUAAAAUUCUAAUCUUUCUUUUCCUUUGACCACAGUCUCAGACUUUGUGUGUUUUGUUCUCAGAUAAAUGUAUCAAAUAUUUAUUUUUUUACUUUCAAAAAUUGAAUUCCAAAGGGUUGUUAUGUUUUCAUAAAAACUAACAAGGUAUUUAUUUUCCUCUGUUGAAUACAUGUGUAUGUGUUAGUUAUGUGUAGAUAGAAUUUAUAUCUAGUCUAGUCUUUUCGUUUUAUUUUUUAUUGACCCAUGUAAAACUUUCCCAACUGUGUGUAAUAAUUUGAUGUUUUUUAAUCUGGUGCUAUAUUUUAGUUCUAUUGUAUGUUGAUGAUAUAUGAUUUUUGAACCUUUCAGAAGGAGAUUUUCACUCUUGUGGAGGAGGCGGAGGACCUUUUUUAUCACCAACCUUCAUUCGUAGAGUGUAACUGUAGUGCUUUGAUGUGUUAUCAACUUUUUGAGUCUAAUUGAUUAAAAAAAAAAUCACAUCAACUAUACAGAUUUUUCAGUUAGUAUUCUUGUUAGAACUUAGGUGAGAAAAAAUUGUUGAAACUUUUUGAAAGACAAUUUUUUUUAAAUUAAAGGAGAAAUAAUUUUUCAAUUACUUCACAGAAAUUUUUCACACAUGCUCUCCAAUUUGGGGUUCUUCCUGGUCGAUGAAUUUUUAUUCUAUAUUUAUAAGAUAAUUUGGUAUUAUAUCUAAAUAUAAAAAGUAACAUUUAACGGUAACAUAGAUUCUGUGUUUUUCUCAAGAUGAUCAGUAUAUCAGAUUCACUACAUGUAGCCAUUUAUAUUUUCAUUAGCUCAGGUUUCUUGUUAUGACAAACAAAUGGCAAUUACUUGUGAUCUUAACACUUGUACCAGUUUUGUCCACAUAUGUUUUUCGAAUUAACAAAAGCCACUGGAUGUUAAGCAAGAAUCUGUUAAAUAAUGGAAACAAGAGUGGUGUAUAAACCUUUUUAUACACAUGUAGAACAUUCUCAAAUUUAGGUGGCAAUCAAAAGAAAGAUACCAACAUUGCAGAACUUUUUUGUUCAUGUGUUUACAGAUCAAAUGCCUUAAUCAAACUGUAUAAAGAUAGUUGUGUUUUAGCCAAAAUGUGUAUUCACUCAUUUUAUAUGUUUGUCAAAGGGGUAGAGAAUAACUGUGAUACUGUUAAUAUUCAGGACUAAACUGUAUUCACAGUUAUUUCCCUUGUUUUUGUUACUUCCCUUUGUGGUUGCAAGGUAUAUUUGGGGGUUAUCUAUUUAGUGAAUUUGCUGAAAAAAAGAUUAUUGUAAAACCUCACUGUAAAAUUUGUAUUGCUUCGUCCUGAAAAUGUCAUAGUUCCAAAACAUGGAUGGGUACAUAUAAUCUGACAAACAGAAUUUAUACCUUGCAAUUCCUAGGGUUCAACAUUGAUGCUUGUAAAUAUUUGUACAAUUGUUAUUCAGGGUCUAGGUUGCUGUACAUAAAUGUGUACUAUAGAUAACCAAUCAGAAAUUUGGUUUAUUCAUGGGUUUUUUUAUCAGCUUUUUCCAAAUAAUAGAUAUGGAAAGGAACAUUAACAUCUGCAGAUUCAAAUAAAGCUGCAAGUGGCAAAUAAACUUUAUUAUCUCAUCAGACUGUUAGCCAAGCAGAUUCACAUUUUGUUAAGAUAUCGCUGCCAGCCCUUUUACAAUAAAAUGAGAAUAAUUGCACUAAGCAUUAGUUUAGCAUGUUCAAUAUUCUGUGUGAGUCAUCAGGUAUUGAUUAAAGUGACAUAAGAGCUAAUACUAGAAUAAAACUGUUACAAGGCCAGUCAAAGUCGGUUCCUUGUUCAAUAAAGCAAAUGUAGAAGCAACUCUGGGAAUUUUCAUCAUCUAUUAAUCUGACAUCCAUCACUUUGUGUCUAUCAUAUGUUGUUUCAUUUUGGUCCAAAUAAAAUUUAAUUAUUUACUCGCCACAUGACAACUUCAGACAAAUGGAUUUCAAAGAGUUGGUCAUAGCUGAAGGUUUUUUUAUGCCCCACCUAGGGGCGGUAUGUCUGUUCAAUUAUCUGUCUGUUUGUCCCACUUUGAAUUAAAGUUUUUGGUAAAUGUAGUAUUUGAAAAAGUUGAAGUCCAAUCAACUUGAGUACACAUGUUCCCUAUAAUACAAUCUUUCUAAUUUUAAUGCCAAAUUAGAGUUUUGACCCCAAUUUCACUGUCCACUGAGCACAUAUAUAAAUAGUGCGAGUGGGGUUUCCAUGAACUAUGGACACGUUCUAGUUUAUUUUGGUGUCAAUGAAAAUUCAAAAAUGGCUUUUAGGGCAAACAAUCAAUGAAAUUAUUAAAAUUAAAUACUUUGAGGUGAAAAAAAAUUGCCAAAAAAUACAGGUGAAUGUUUUUUAGAGCGAAUUCAUUGCCAUGUGUACUGGAAAUUCAUUGAUACCAUUGAAAUCAAUCUCUAUUAUCUAAUUCAAAUAUGCCCAAUCCCCCUUCAUAGUCCAAAUAUAUUACAAAUUUUUUUCUUGUUCUGUUUAUGUGUAUGCUUAGGACUGGGUUUUUUUCUCAGUCUACCAAGAUAUUUCCAAAUCAAAGAAAUUACACUCUCUCUCUAGAAAGCUUUCAAACCAGUCAAUGAAAUAACUAAAAGUUCAAGGGCAGGGUUUUUUGGUUGAAAAUAACAAAAUCAGGCUUUUGAUAUGUUUUCUAUUUGUUGACAGUGCAUUGUGUUGGAAGUGUAGAACUUUAGUGGACACCUUCAACAACUAUACUACAUUAGUAUAACACUAGAUAAGCUAUUUAUUCAUCAUUGGUAUAGUGAAACAAACAUGUACAAUUUCUUUAAUGUUAACAUUUGUAGGUGAAUUUCAUUACCUUAUCAACUUUUAAGAAACUUGUUUUCACCUCAAAUUGACAGGACUUAAUUAAUUAUCAGUUGGAGAAGAGAAAACUAGUUCAUUUUUCUUCAAAUUAGUCUUGUAUGAUUUAUAUUAUUUUUAUUUCAUUCAAAAAAGUUGUCUUCACGAUAUAUUGUUACAAUUUGUUUAAUUUUUAUGCAUUAACCAUGUGUUGUAACAAUGUUUUAUUUCUCAGUUUUCCAAUGAUCUCAGACCAUUUAUGUAGUAUAAUGGUUACUAUGACAACAUCUCCCUACAUUCCAACAAGAAAACCACAUUUUACAGGAAUGCCACAAAAGAGGUACAA